UACGAAGGGUGCAAGCGUUACUCGGAAUUAUUGGGCGUAAAGAGCUCGUAGGCGGCUUGUCGCGUCGUCUGUGAAAACCCGCAGCUCAACUGCGGGCUUGCAGGCGAUACGGGCAGGCUAGAGUUCGGUAGGGGAGACUGGAAUUCCUGGUGUAGCGGUGGAAUGCGCAGAUAUCAGGAGGAACACCGGUGGCGAAGGCGGGUCUCUGGGCAGUAACUGACGCUGAGGAGCGAAAGCGUGGGGAGCGAACAGG
rnacentral:rRNA from 1 species